rnacentral:rRNA from 1 species
UGAGGAAUAUUGGUCAAUGGAGGAAACUCUGAACCAGCCAAGUCGCGUGAAGGAAGAAUGUCCUAAGGAUUGUAAACUUCUUUAGCGAGCGAGUAAGGACUUCCACGUGAUGGGAGUUUGAAAGUAGCUCGAGAAUAAGUAUCGGCUAACUCCGUGCCAGCAGCCGCGGUAAUACGGAGGAUACGAGCGUUAUCCGGAUUUAUUGGGUUUAAAGGGUGCGCAGGUGGUCCUGCAAGUCAGUGGUGAAAAGCUGGGGCUCAACCUCAGCCUUGCCGUUGAAACUGCAAGACUUGAGAGUACAUGAUGUGGGCGGAAUGCGUAGUGUAGCGGUGAAAUGCAUAGAUAUUACGCAGAACUCCGAUUGCGAAGGCAGCUCACAAAGGUAUGUCUGACACUGAGGCACGAAAGCGUGGGGAGCAAACAGG